AGAAUCAACGCUGGCGGCGUGCCUAACACAUGCAAGUCGAACGAGAAAGUGGAGCAAUCCAUGAGUACAGUGGCGCACGGGUGAGUAACACGUGACUAACCUACCUUCGAGUGGGGGAUAACCUCGGGAAACCGAGGCUAAUACCGCAUAACAUCGUGAGAUCAAAGCAGUAAUGCGCGUGGAAGAGGGGGUCGCGGCUGAUUAGCGUAGUUGGCCGGGUAAUGGCCCACCAAGGCGAAGAU
rnacentral:rRNA from 1 species